rnacentral:rRNA from 1 species
CUUUGAUCCAGAGAUUUCCGAAUGGGGAAACCCAGCAUGAGUUAUGUCAUGUUAUCGAUAUGUGAAUACAUAGCAUAUCAGAAGGCACACCCGGAGAACUGAAACAUCUUAGUACCCGGAGGAAGAGAAAGAAAAUUCGAUUCCCUUAGUAGCGGCGAGCGAAAUGGGAAGAGCCCAAACCAACAAGCUUGCUUGUUGGGGUUGUAGGACACUCUAUACGGAGUUACAAAGGACGACAUUAGACGAAUCAUCUGGAAAGAUGAAUCAAAGAAGGUAAUAAUCCUGUAGUCGAAAAUGUUGUCUCUCUUGAGUGGAUCCUGAGUACGACGGAGCACGUGAAAUUCCGUCGGAAUCUGGGAGGACCAUCUCCUAAGGCUAAAUACUCUCUAGUGACCGAUAGUGAACCAGUACCGUGAGGGAAAGGUGAAAAGCACCCCGGAAGGGGAGUGAAAUAGAACCUGAAACCGUGUGCUUACAAGUAGUCAGAGCCCGUUAAUGGGUGAUGGCGUGCCUUUUGUAGAAUGAACCGGCGAGUUACGAUUUGAUGCAAGGUUAAGCAGUAAAUGUGGAGCCGUAGCGAAAGCGAGUCUGAAUAGGGCGUUUAGUAUUUGGUCGUAGACCCGAAACCAGGUGAUCUACCCUUGGUCAGGUUGAAGUUCAGGUAACACUGAAUGGAGGACCGAACCGACUUACGUUGAAAAGUGAGCGGAUGAACUGAGGGUAGCGGAGAAAUUCCAAUCGAACCUGGAGAUAGCUGGUUCUCUCCGAAAUAGCUUUAGGGCUAGCCUCAAGUGAUGAUUAUUGGAGGUAGAGCACUGUUUGGACGAGGGGCCCCUCUCGGGUUACCGAAUUCAGACAAACUCCGAAUGCCAAUUAAUUUAACUUGGGAGUCAGAACAUGGGUGAUAAGGUCCGUGUUCGAAAGGGAAACAGCCCAGACCACCAGCUAAGGUCCCAAAAUAUAUGUUAAGUGGAAAAGGAUGUGGCGUUGCCCAGACAACUAGGAUGUUGGCUUAGAAGCAGCCAUCAUUUAAAGAGUGCGUAAUAGCUCACUAGUCGAGUGACACUGCGCCGAAAAUGUACCGGGGCUAAACAUAUUACCGAAGCUGUGGAUUGUCCUUUGGACAAUGGUAGGAGAGCGUUCUAAGGGCGUUGAAGCAUGAUCGUAAGGACAUGUGGAGCGCUUAGAAGUGAGAAUGCCGGUGUGAGUAGCGAAAGACGGGUGAGAAUCCCGUCCACCGAUUGACUAAGGUUUCCAGAGGAAGGCUCGUCCGCUCUGGGUUAGUCGGGUCCUAAGCUGAGGCCGACAGGCGUAGGCGAUGGAUAACAGGUUGAUAUUCCUGUACCACCUAUAAUCGUUUUAAUCGAUGGGGGGACGCAGUAGGAUAGGCGAAGCGUGCGAUUGGAUUGCACGUCUAAGCAGUAAGGCUGAGUAUUAGGCAAAUCCGGUACUCGUUAAGGCUGAGCUGUGAUGGGGAGAAGACAUUGUGUCUUCGAGUCGUUGAUUUCACACUGCCGAGAAAAGCCUCUAGAUAGAAAAUAGGUGCCCGUACCGCAAACCGACACAGGUAGUCAAGAUGAGAAUUCUAAGGUGAGCGAGCGAACUCUCGUUAAGGAACUCGGCAAAAUGACCCCGUAACUUCGGGAGAAGGGGUGCUCUUUAGGGUUAACGCCCAGAAGAGCCGCAGUGAAUAGGCCCAAGCGACUGUUUAUCAAAAACACAGGUCUCUGCUAAACCGUAAGGUGAUGUAUAGGGGCUGACGCCUGCCCGGUGCUGGAAGGUUAAGAGGAGUGGUUAGCUUCUGCGAAGCUACGAAUCGAAGCCCCAGUAAACGGCGGCCGUAACUAUAACGGUCCUAAGGUAGCGAAAUUCCUUGUCGGGUAAGUUCCGACCCGCACGAAAGGCGUAACGAUUUGGGCACUGUCUCAACGAGAGACUCGGUGAAAUCAUAGUACCUGUGAAGAUGCAGGUUACCCGCGACAGGACGGAAAGACCCCGUGGAGCUUUACUGUAGCCUGAUAUUGAAAUUCGGCACAGCUUGUACAGGAUAGGUAGGAGCCUUUGAAACGUGAGCGCUAGCUUACGUGGAGGCGCUGGUGGGAUACUACCCUAGCUGUGUUGGCUUUCUAACCCGCACCACUUAUCGUGGUGGGAGACAGUGUCAGGCGGGCAGUUUGACUGGGGCGGUCGCCUCCUAAAAGGUAACGGAGGCGCUCAAAGGUUCCCUCAGAAUGGUUGGAAAUCAUUCAUAGAGUGUAAAGGCAUAAGGGAGCUUGACUGCGAGACCUACAAGUCGAGCAGGGUCGAAAGACGGACUUAGUGAUCCGGUGGUUCCGCAUGGAAGGGCCAUCGCUCAACGGAUAAAAGCUACCCCGGGGAUAACAGGCUUAUCUCCCCCAAGAGUUCACAUCGACGGGGAGGUUUGGCACCUCGAUGUCGGCUCAUCGCAUCCUGGGGCUGUAGUCGGUCCCAAGGGUUGGGCUGUUCGCCCAUUAAAGCGGUACGCGAGCUGGGUUCAGAACGUCGUGAGACAGUUCGGUCCCUAUCCGUCGUGGGCGUAGGAAAUUUGAGAGGAGCUGUCCUUAGUACGAGAGGACCGGGAUGGACAUACCUCUGGUGUACCAGUUGUCGU